GUCCACGCCCUAAACGAUGUCAACUAGGUGUUGGGGGAGCGAUUUCUCAGUACCGUAGCUAACGCGUGAAGUUGACCGCCUGGGGAGUACGGCCGCAAGGUUAAAACUCAAAGGAAUUGACGGGGACCCGCACAAGCGGUGGAUGAUGUGGAUUAAUUCGAUGCAACGCGAACAACCUUACCUACCCUUGACAUGUCCGGAAGCCUGCCGAGAGGUGGGUGUGCCUGAAAGGGAAUCGGAACACAGGUGCUGCAUGGCUGUCGU
rnacentral:rRNA from 1 species